rnacentral:rRNA from 1 species
GAUGAACGCUGGCGGCGUGCUUAACACAUGCAAGUCGAACGGAAAGGCCCAAGCUUGCUUGGGUACUCGAGUGGCGAACGGGUGAGUAACACGUGGGUGAUCUGCCCUGCACUUCGGGAUAAGCCUGGGAAACUGGGUCUAAUACCGGAUAGGACCACUUCUUGGAUGUUGUGGUGGAAAGUUUUUUCGGUGUGGGAUGAGCUCGCGGCCUAUCAGCUUGUUGGUGGGGUAAUGGCCUACCAAGGCGUCGGCGGGUAGCCGGCCUGAGAGGGUGUACGGCCACAUUGGGACUGAGAUACGGCCCAGACUCCUACGGGAGGCAGCAGUGGGGAAUAUUGCACAAUGGGCGCAAGCCUGAUGCAGCGACGCCGCGUGGGGGAUGACGGCCUUCGGGUUGGAAACUCCUUUCGCUAGGGACGAAGCGUUUUGUGACGGUACCUGGAGAAGAAGCACCGGCUAACUACGUG